GACGAACGCUGGCGGCGUGCUUAAAACAUGCAAGUCGAACGGUGAAGCGCCUUCCUUUUUGGUGGGUGUGGAUGAGUGGCGAACGGGUGAGUAACACGUGAGUAACCUGCCCCCUUCUUCUGGAUAACCGCAUGAAAGUGUGGCUAAUACGGGAUAUUCUGGGUCUGUCGCAUGAUGGGUCUGGGAAAGAUAUUGUUUCGGUGGGGGAUGGGCUCGCGGCCUAUCAGCUUGUUGGUGGGGUGAUGGCCUACCAAGGCGGUGACGGGUAGCCGGCCUGAGAGGGUGGACGGUCACACUGGGACUGAGACACGGCCCAGACUCCUACGGGAGGCAGCAGUGGGGAAUAUUGCACAAUGGGCGCAAGCCUGAUGCAGCGACGCCGCGUGAGGGAUGGAGGCCUUCGGGUUGUGAACCUCUUUCGCCAGUGAAGCAGGCCUGCCUCGUUUGUGGGUGGGUUGACGGUAGCUGGAUAAGAAGCGCCGGCUAACUACGUG
rnacentral:rRNA from 1 species